rnacentral:rRNA from 1 species
AGUGAACGCUGGCGGUAGGUCUAACACAUGCAAGUCGAACGGCAGCACAGUAAGAGCUUGCUCUUACGGGUGGCGAGUGGCGGACGGGUGGGGAAUACAUCGGAAUCUACUUUUUCGUGGGGGAUAACGUAGGGAAACUUACGCUAAUACCGCAUACGACCUACGGGUGAAAGCAGGGGAUCUUCGGACCUUGCGCGAUUGAAUGAGCCGAUGUCGGAUUAGCUAGUUGGCGGGGUAAAGGCCCACCAAGGCGACGAUCCGUAGCUGGUCUGAGAGGAUGAUCAGCCACACUGGAACUGAGACACGGUCCAGACUCCUACGGGAGGCAGCAGUGGGGAAUAUUGGACAAUGGGCGCAAGCCUGAUCCAGCCAUACCGCGUGGGUGAAGAAGGCCUUCGGGUUGUAAAGCCCUUUUGUUGGGAAAGAAAAGCAGCAGGUUAAUACCCCGCUGUUCUGACGGUACCCAAAGAAUAAGCACCGGCUAACUUCGUG